GAUUAGGGUUUCGCUGUUGUAUGGUAGAUUAAAACAAACAUCUCUGCAAAGUCCUUUUGGUGCUCAGAAACGGAUUGCCUCUUUGAUGCUUGUUCUGGAAAAGUGAAUGUUUAGUAAAAGCAUGAGCAACUUCGGUUCUUUUCACGUGGCCUUGGUUUUGAUCUCAGCUCUGGAUGGCUAUUAGGGAGGUUUGAUGGAUAUCAUUUGGAUUGAAAUCCAUUGGACAGUUGGCAGUUCGGUUGGGAUUAUUGGAGAUUGAAAUAGGAGACUGAAUUAUGUUAUCUCCUUUUGAAAGUUGCAGAUUUUGUUCUAUCGAGUAACAGUUUGUUACAAGUUGGGUUAAUAAAAUGUGUUAUGGUUGAGUUUUUUACUGUCAUGAUGUUGAUUGUUUUGCAGGUCUAGUAUUGAUGAACCGUUGUUGCAGCUAGAGUCCAAGUCACCUAACAUGAACUUUCAUCCACAUAAAUGCAAUUUCCUUCUUUGAAAGUCCUAGCUUCAUCAAGUUCACUAUCCGUCAAGGUUCUGUUGAUAUCAAACUCAAGCCUUUUGCACCAAAGCUAUGAUUCUAGUGCGUUGAAUUUGGUUUGUGGAACCUUGUUGUCGAUUGUGGAGUUCGAACAUAACUUUGAUGCGCAAGUGAAGCCGUUGUUGUUGGAGUGAAGAUGCAAUUCUGGAUGUCUUGUUAUUUGUUGUACGCUCAUGUGUUGCAACAAUUAAAUCAACUUGAGUUUCGAUAGGUGUGGCCCGGCUAUGAUGCUGAAGUUUGCAGAAACAAUGGCUGCAUCAACAAAACAGUUGCUUUCCACUUGAUCAGAUAUUACUUGUGCAGAGGUUAUGUUGUGGUUUGCAGGUCUUGGAAGUACUGCAUUUGAGUAGCAUUCUUGUGCAUCAUUUGUGGAAUGAAGUGAGAAAUUAGCGGCACCCCAUCCACUGAUCCCUCACGACACUUUGUUCGGUGAAUUAUUGGCACUGUCAACAUCAUCGUGAUUUAAAGGAACCACGAAGUAUGAGGCGCCGCUCUUUCAUGUAAACAUGCAAAGCUUCAAUAAGCAGUGGCCCUUCAAUAAUGAGCUUACAACAACACGCAACUUGCUUCUAACAGAUUUAGAAUUUUCGAUCUCUAAUUCAGACACCUCAAACUCUUCACACAAUUGUGCUGAAAUAGCUGGAUGAAGAUCAGGUAAAGCUCUCCGAGAUUAAAGUUGCUCGUUUUUACUGCAUGCCAUGGGAGAAUUUGUAGUGUGUUGAUCAUCCUUCAAAUGAGUCCUUCAACUCAUUUCCCCAUUGUUUGAUUUACAGGGCAUCUGAAGACUUUAAAGAAACGUUAGAACGUGAGCCUUAUCUUCUCACUCCUGAACAAAGAUGUAAACUUUCUUGAGAAGCUGUAACUCAAAGAUUUAUGGAAUAUUCCGAUCUUGACCAAAUCCUUUUAGAAUUAGCAAAUGGAGGCUUAGGAUUCGCUCACUACUGUCUCACUGGGAACGAGUUGCCGAGAUUAGGUACCGGAACAAAACCUGGGAUACGUGAUUACAACAGGCAGCAUUGUAAAGUUUAAAAUGCCGGUGAUUAGCUUUAGUGCCUCAAAUUUGUAGUUUACGGUUGUUUGUAAUUA